AAAAUUGUAAAUAUGUUUAGCGAUAUUUAAUUGCCUUACACAUCAUGGAUCUAAUAUCAAUGAGUUAGUAUGUCAGCACUGAUGUGCACAUACUUGCAGGUACUGUUCCCCGGGAGAUAGCUCUUGCUAGUCCAAAGACUCCCAAGCUUCAGAUCAAGGGUAAUCGCAUGACACCUUCUACAUAUGUUCUUUACAAAACCAAAUCCAG